ACCCGCUGAACUUAAGCAUAUCAGUAAGCGGAGGAAAAGAAAUUAACUAAGAUUGCCUCAGUAGCGGCGAGCGAACAGGCAAGAGCUCAAGCCUAAAAUCUGGAGUGUAAUGCUUCAGAAUUGUAGUCUAAAGCGGCAGACAGAAGAUAAAGAGUUUGUGUAACUUCCUUGGAAAGGGAGGCCAUAGAGGGUGAAAGCCCCGUUCCACAAUGCUCUUGUUGUAUGUCUGUUAGCAUAGAGUCGGGUUGUUUGGGAUUGCAGCCCUAAGUGGGAGAUAAACUUCUUCUAAGGCUAAAUAUUUAUGGGAAACCGAUAGUGAACAAGUACUGUGAAGGAAAGGUGAAAAGAACUUUGGAAAGAGAGUUAAAAGACUUGAAAUCGUUGAGAAGGAAGCGGUAGAAGAAUAUCUUCUUGAUAUGGAUGUAAGGAAGGUGAGUAUUUGCCUCUGCCUAAUGUGGUACGUUAAAGGCCUAUUGGGUAGUUGGUUAAGGUACUCUCUCUGUCUUCCAUGUCAAUAGCAAGAUGGGGUUACGUCAUAUUGGAUAUAUUGUGUACAAAGACGUCUUCGGACAGUGUAUACAAAAUACAAUAUGGAUAGCCUGAGGGUGCUACGGCGAUCUUGUAACGAUGGCUUC
rnacentral:rRNA from 1 species